rnacentral:rRNA from 1 species
GAUGAACGCUAGCGGCAGGCUUAACACAUGCAAGUCGAGGGGCAGCACGGGUAGCAAUACUGGGUGGCGACCGGCGCACGGGUGAGUAACGCGUAUGCAACCUACCUUCAACUGGGGGAUAGCCCAGGGAAACUUGGAUUAAUACCCCAUAAGACAUUAGAGUCGCAUGACUUAGAUGUUAAAGUUCCGGCGGUUGGAGAUGGGCAUGCGUGCCAUUAGGUAGUUGGCGGGGGAACGGCCCACCAAGCCUGCGAUGGCUACGGGGUCUAAAAGGAUGGGCCCGAACACUGGUACUGAGACACGGACCAGACUCCGACGGGAGGCAGCAGUGAGGAAGAUUGGUCAAUGGGGGCAACCCUGAACCAGCCAUGCCGCGUGGAGGAAGACGGCCCUAUGGGUUGUAAACUCCUUUUGUACGGGAAUAAUAGCACCUACGUGUAGGUGUAUGAAGGUACUGUACGAAUAGCAUCGGCUAACUGCGUGCCAGCCGCCGCGGUAAGAC